AUUGAACGCUAGCGGCAUGCUUAACACAUGCAAUUCGAACGGUAACAGGUCUAGCUUGCUAGAUGCUGAAGAGUGGCGGACGGGUGAGUAACGCGUAGGAAUCUACCGUAUAGUGGGGGUUAACCUGGGUAAACUAAGGCUAAUACCGCAUUAGACCUAAGGGGGAAAGCAGGGGUCCGAAAGGCAUUGAGCUAUGAGAUGAGCGUGCGUUGGAUUAGCUAGUUGGGUGGGUAAAGGCCUACCAAGGCGAUGAUCCACAGCUGGUCUGAGAGGAUGAUCAGCCACUCUGGGAUUGGGACACGGCCCAGACUCCUACGGGAGGCAGCAGUGGGGAAUUGUGGACAAUGGGGGAACCCCUGAUCCAUCCAUGCCGCGUGAGUGAAGAAGGCCUUCGGGUUGUAAAGCUCUUUCGGACGGAAAGAAAUCGCACAGGUAAAUAAUCUGUGUGGAUGACGGUACCGUAAGAAGAAGCACCGGCUAACUACGUGCCAGCAGCCGCCGUAA
rnacentral:rRNA from 1 species